GUUAUUAUCAGUUUUUAUUCCACAAGAAGAAAUUCCGUUGUAAGGCUAGUGUAUUCCUAUUUAAAAUUGAACACGCUGACCCACAAAACACAUAUAAAAAUAGUAAAGACAUAUUAAUAGUAAAGUGGUGGCGGUUUUGCCAAACUCUUGCAGCAGUUUAAUUUUCCCUGCACAUGAGUACACAGCCAUCCUUCCUACAAAAUACUGCAAACUAUUUUAUUAAGGAUCACUGCAAACCAACUGCCCCAAAGGAAGCCUAACAGAAGGUUAGGCUCCUCAGAGUGCCAACUUCAUGUUCCAAAAUGAGCCCCAACCCCAGGUAGAACCUUCACUUUUUUUCAGGAAUAUUGUCCAGGUGACUUGACACUUGCCUACCGGAAAAGUUGGGAUGUUCUUGGGAAAUAACAGGGGACAAGCUGCACAAAGGAAUGUUCUUCUAUUUAUUUUAAACAAAUGACUGCGUGUACUGAAUCUGAC
rnacentral:lncRNA from 1 species